rnacentral:rRNA from 1 species
CCCUUAGAUGUCCGGGGCCGCACGCGCGCUACACUGAAGGAAUCAGCGUGGCUUUCUCCCUGACCCGAAAGGGUUGGGAAACCCGUUGAAUCUCCUUCGUGAUAGGGAUUGGGGCUUGAAAUUGUUCCCCAUGAACGAGGAAUUCCCAGUAAGCGCGAGUCAUAAGCUCGCGUUGAUUACGUCCCUGCCCUUUGUACACACCGCCCGUCGCUCCUACCGAUUGAGUGCUCAGGUGAAUAAUUCGGACUGCAGCAAUGUUCGGAUCCCGAACGUUGCAGCGGAAAGUUUAGUGAACCUUAUCACUUAGAGGAAGGAGAAGUCGUAACA